ensembl:lncRNA novel transcript
UCAUUAAAGGUGACUGUACAGAAAACCAGACCAUGACUACGUGCAACCCUUUGUGGUGCCAAGAAAGAAGAAACUGCAUCAGAUAAUAUCUUAAUGAGCUGAAAAUUACUAAGAAGAUAAAGAAAUGGAGACCCCUUUCAUGGAUCAGAAGAAGUUUCAUUUCAAAUAUGUUGAGUAGCAAUGAAGAAAGAAGUGAAAGCUUGCUGUGAGGAUGCCCAUGUACACGAUGGCAUGAUUAAUACCAAGUGGAGAAAUAGAGAAAUGACCUUCUCAAAGAAUACUCAGGAGCUGUUAUAAAGGUUGAGGCUGGAAUUCAGACCUUUUUGUCUAUGGUCUCAGACUACUGCAUUCCUGGGAAGACAAGUGCUUCCUGCCAUUUCUGGAAAGAAAAGUAUACACAAACAGUAAAUUAAAGGGUAGAUCUCAAAGGAACAGCAACUCUUGAAGAUAAACUUUCUGAAAGGUGAAGUCAUUGAACUAAACUUAACUUGCGCUAUCACCCACGGAGAAAAAGCAAAAGAAGGCAGUAUUAAACUGUCUGCCCUUAAUGUCAUUACAUGUGGUUUCUCUUAUUUGACCUAUG